UUAAAGUAAUAUUGUUCUUCUGCAUGAAAAAGUUGGUUGAAUCUGUCUUGAAUAAAGUCAUAGAGGAGUUUGAGCAUCGCAUUGCAAUCCCAGAUGAACAGGUAUGAUACUUUUCACCUUUUAAGUAAUGCCAUUAGUUAUUAAGUUAUUGGCUAGUCACUUUGUGUCAUUAUUAUACUUAAUUUUAGGAAAAAUAAUUCUUC
rnacentral:lncRNA from 1 species